AACGAACGCUGGCGGCAUGCCUAACACAUGCAAGUCGAACGAGACCUUCUGGUCUCGUUUCUCACGGGUGCGUAACGCGUUGGAACCUGCCCUUAUGUUCCGAAUAACUCCCCGCCAGGGCUUCUAAUUCAGGAUAAUGUCUUCGGACCAAUGAUUUAUCGCCUUUGGAUGUGCCCGCGUUGGAUUAGCUAGUUGGUAGGGUAAAAGCCUACCAAGUCGACGAUCCAUAGCUGGUCUGAGAGGAUGAUCAGCGACACUGAGACUGAGACACGGCACAGACUGGUACGGGAGGCAGAAGUGGGGAAGAUUGGAGAAGGGGCGAAGGGCUGAUCAAGCAAUGCCGCGGGAGUGAUGAAGGACUUAGGGUUGAGAAGCUCAUUUAGCCGGGAGGAUAAUGACAGUACCGGGAGAAUAAGCUCCGGCUAACUACGUG
rnacentral:rRNA from 1 species